rnacentral:lncRNA from 1 species
GAAUAUCCUGUUGAAAGCAGACGUUCUCUUUCUGAUACUUUGCUUCGAUUGCUUUGAGGUCGGUUCUGGUUUCUUCUCUUGUUCAUAUGCAGCAAAAGAUUGUUCUUUAUACGUUGCACUGUCUUGCUCUUCUUCGACCUGAUCAGUAAAUCUAUUUUAACAAAAUAAACAAGUGAGUAAACUAUACUCUUAUUCAUCAUUGGUUUAGUUGCAGAAAAAACAUAUUUUCAACUUUACACUGAUGCAUCUUCUGGCAUGUAUGGCAUCGAAUAGUUUUCAUUCAUAAUUCCACAUGUACAAUGUGAUUAUGGAUUCCAUAAAUAAACAUUAUAUAGUGUGAAAAGAAGUGUGCAAUUGAUUGCAUUUACCUGUCUUCAUUCUUGCUGGAUUUCUUUUCUAGACUUUGCAUACUGCAUACACUCGAGUAGAAUGUACUUCUCUCCAACAAUUCUUCAUGUGUUCCGUGUUGAGCUACUCUCCCAUUCUCCACAAUAACAAUCUUGUCUGCAUUUAUUAUUGUUGACAUUCUGUGGGCAAUCAAGAUAACUGUCCUCCCUUUCAUAGCUCUGUCAAGAGCAUCCUGAACUAGCUUCUCUGAUUCUGAAUCAAGUGCACUUGUGGCUUCAUCAAGAAGAAGAAUGGGGGGAUCUUUUAGUAUAGCCCUUGCAAUAGCUAUUCUCUGUUUCUGACCUCCUGACAGUUGCACCCCUCUUUCUCCUACCUUAAGUGGUUCGCAAUAAAGCAUAUGAGUGAUGCCUACUAUUAUAUAGACUUGGUUCGUAACUAAAUUCUGUACAACUAGCUAUGUUUGGUGCAACAAAUUGAUGUUGUCCUAAGUCAUUUGGUGGUGCAUGCGUACAUGCUCUGUCUCACUAUGCACCAUGUGACAAAGGAAACACUAAACCUAAGAAUUUUUUAAUACAAGAUAACCUUAGAUAACAUACUACAACCAAUCAGAAAUUCCUGAAACAAUUUAAUAGGGGGACAGAGUGAAAACAUUGCAACAACUACACUCUUGAUUCCCUCAAUGGACGGAUAUAUUAAAACAGAGCUUUCCGAGGCCAGCCUCGAAUAGUCAAACGGAGGGAGUAACGCAUUGCAUGAACUCCUUUCCAAAAAACAAUGCAUGAACUAAAACAAUAUAUCAGUGCCGAACUCAAAAGUAUAGACCACAUCUCUUAAGGCUAUUUAGACCUAUCUGUUAAUAACUUGAAAUUAUUUGAUUCACAACCAUACAAAAUAGAGAAAUUUGUGAGGUUGCCACUAGUCUUUUGUUUCAUAAACAUAAAGUCUUACCUCAGUCGAGUAUUGAUCUGGAAGUUUGGAUAUGAAAGAGUGCACAUUAGCUGUUUUUGCUGCUUCAAUUAUCUCUUCAUCAGUUGCAUCCAGUUUUCCAAUUCUCAAGUUAUCCAUGAUAGUACCAGAAAAUAGUGCUGGUUCUUGAGAGACUGAGCCUAUAUUUCUCCUCAGGGACUUCAGGUCAAGUUCCUUAAUGUUUUGACCGUCAACAGUAAUGCCACCUGUGUUGUUACACGCAAAAAAAAUCUGAAAGUUACACUAUGAAUCAUAUGAUUUUUGUUUCUAUGGAAAACUGUAUUCUGUUUGAAAUGCAAACAUUUCAUCACUGUGUAUGUAAUCUAAAAGCACUCGUGAACAUAAUCGAACACAACAAAUGAAGAAUAUAGACCUCAGGAAAUAUUUAUGCAGGGGUAGCGUUCUCUUCUAGAAGCCUACCUGAUAUAGGAUCAUAGAAUCUUUGAACCAGAGAAAUUACAGUGCUCUUCCCACAUCCACUGCUCCCCACAAGAGCCACCACUUUGCCUGCUGGUAUAACUAGUGUGAAACCUUGAAGAAUCAGCUUGUCUUUACGGGACGGAUAUGUGAAAUCCACCUCUCUUAUUUCAAUAUGUCCAGUGACCUUUUCUAAGAUUCUUCCGUUUGAUUCAUAAUUUAUCGCUGUUUUUCUUUUGAUAACCUUAAAUACUUCUUUACCAGCAGCUUUUGCUUGGCUGAAGGUCUGAAGAUCCGGCGCGGCGUUUGAGAGAUAUCUGAAAUUGCAGAUAAAAAUAUCAGCUGGAGCGACAUCACAUGGUAUAUGCUAGAUUGCUGGAAAUAUAAUACUCAGCAUUACAUCGCAGCGGAGAGGAUAUUAAUGACUGCAGCAAUUGUUUCACCCCCUUUUGCAGAUCUUCUAGUUACUGCCAAUGCUCCAAUAUAGAUGGUCAAUGAGUAUGAACAGAAGGUUGCAAUCUGUAACAUUCCCAAACCUAGUCCUUUUGUAAUUGCCUCUUUCUUGCCUAGCUUGUAUUG